UUCUCUUGUUUUCAGUCGUUCAUGAUUCAGUCAUUGUUCCAUCACAAAACGCACUAACCGGUUCUGCAGGCCCUGGGAUCUCAACUGCACUGGGGACACUGCCGCCCUGGUUCCUGGGGUCAGGGGGUUACAGGCAAAGGCCCCAAGUGAUUCCCUAAAGACCUGGCCAGGAAUGCCUGAGUCUGGCCAAAAGGGCUUCCUAGGAAAGGGCCCACGUGCCGCGGCAGAAGCCACACAGCCAUGCUGCACCCCAGAGAGCGCCAAAGAAGAUCGACUGACAACUGCAACAUGCAACGUGCCAGAUUUCUCUGGCAGUGCUCCAGCUAGUCAGAGCCAAUUAAUAUGAAACCAAUAGGCCAAAUCAACGUUUUCAGAAGUUAACUCAAAAAAAUCCCAGAAGAUUAACCAGCCUGUGGCCUUUGCUAUGAAAUUGUUACCACACCACUUUCUUUUCUUUUGAAAGUCCAGAUGGGCAGAUAAAUCCAAAGUGGAUCAACCACAUCUGCCAUUCCUCCACACAAAUUACACCCCCUCCCACAACUUCCCUCUUCCCUCUCCAGCAUGCAAAGCACUCAGGGCCUGGGCUGAAUUGACAUUUUAUGCCAUGCUGUAUGUUUUGAAUUCCUCAUUGUAUUAUGAGGAACUGCAUCAUGACCCCUCUGAGGCAAAGAGCUGGCAGAUUCUGAAAUUUGCCUUCUCCAAAGGUGAGAACUGCAUUUAUGGAGGGACGGCUUUCUUCCAGGCACGAAAUGAGCCAAGAGUAGAACCCAGCCCCGUUGGCUGCCUUCUCCAGUGUUCUGAACUGGUAUUCAAAUCAGCAAAGUCCAGGUUGUUCUGCCUUUCUGGAACUUGCAACUCUGAGGCUUCAGCAAGAAGAGGAUCUGCCAGGGCGGAUUUGAUGCAACAAAAGAGAGUGUCCCUGGUGUGUUUUAAUUAGGCGAUUGGUCUCCAGUCAUGUAGCCUCAUUGGGAGCUGUUUCUUCUACAUGUUCUGCUGGCUUCUCCUCUACCUCUUCCUCCGCUUCUUGGGGAUAGAGAUCUGGAUAUUCCUGCCUGCCUUCCUGCAUGGCUCAGAACUGAUCUACACAGUCUGACCCCUUGACCUGCUCAUGUUAUGGUGGAAGCAGGAAAAGGCUGCCUUGAACUGUUCCCUGUAGGAGCCGUUGGCCAUUCCCCCAAGGAAGAGGCAGUGCCAAAGUCUCCCAUUUGGCAGCAUCAAUCCAUGCUCCUCCUAGGGAGGGAUCGUUGGGGUCAUCAGCCACCAGCUCUGCAUUGCUUGGAGUUUUGUAGUCUUCUUUGGUCACAAAUAUGAUUCGAUCCUUCUGUUCCUGUCAGCAGUAGGACAUGGCUGCAGCCCAGCCCUUAGACCUCAUAGAAGGAACAGUGGCUGUUGCAGCUUCACGUGAUGACCUCCCUCUCCUCAGGCAGGGCAGGUGCCUCUGAGGCCUGUGCAGACCGGAGAUAAAUUACUUAAUCUUCCUGGAUCUCAAUUUUUUUUGUCUGUGGAAUGGAUUAAAUCAUAGCCAUUCCCUGGCAGAGUUAUUGAGAGGACUGCACGAGGUAAUGAAGGUGAAGCCUCCGGCCAAGAGUGAGUGUCCACACACCUUCACCCUCAUUCCCUUUUGACUUGGCUCCUUCAUGAGGCACUUUCUGUUAUCAGUUAAUGCAGAACCAAUAAAGGACAUGAGGACCCUUGACCAUCAGUAAACUGAUGCUCAAGGAUCCCUUUCUUGCAUCUCAUUGACUCUUCGACAAAUGAACCUUUUCCCUCUUGAACAUCAGCUGAUCAUCUUUUGAAAGGCCCUGCCUCAAUUCUGAAACUCUAAUCUGUCUUAAAAGUAGCAGUGAUGGGAGACAUCCUUCAUCUCUAUGUGAUCUUCAAGAGAAUGUAUCUAAAGUUUCUCCAAUGAGUAUGAUGUUUGCAAUAGAUUUUUGAUAUGAAACCUUUAUCCUUGGUUGCUGAAAUUCAUGUUUGUUUUUGUUUUCUCUUGUGAUCAGAAGUAGACACUGAACAUAUCACAUGAUUUUCUUCACGUAUCAGGUAAUCAUAUGCAGUUUUCUUUUAUAUAUUGAUACAGAUAAAUUAUUUUUAUAGAUUAUCUGAUGUUAAAACAUACAUUCAUUCCCCCCAAA
rnacentral:lncRNA from 1 species